rnacentral:rRNA from 1 species
UACGGAGGGUGCGAGCGUUGUCCGGAAUCACUGGGCGUAAAGGGCGCGUAGGCGGCGCGGGUAGUCAUCGGUGAAAGUUCAGGGCUCAACUCUGAAUCGGCCGGUGAUACUCCCGUGCUCGAGCACUGUAGGGGCAGGUGGAAUUCCGGGUGUAGCGGUGAAAUGCGCAGAUAUCAGGAGGAACACCGGUGGCGAAGGCGGGUCUCUGGGCCGAUACUGACGCUGAGGAGCGAAAGCGUGGGGAGCGAACAGG